AUGAACGCUAGCUACAGGCUUAACACAUGCAAGUCGAGGGGCAUCAGGAAGAAAGCUUGCUUUCUUUGCUGGCGACCGGCGCACGGGUGAGUAACACGUAUCCAACCUGCCCUUUACUCGGGGAUAGCCUUUCGAAAGAAAGAUUAAUACCCGAUGGCAUAAUGAUUCCGCAUGGUUUCAUUAUUAAAGGAUUCCGGUAAAGGAUGGGGAUGCGUUCCAUUAGGUUGUUGGUGAGGUAACGGCUCACCAAGCCUUCGAUGGAUAGGGGUUCUGAGAGGAAGGUCCCCCACAUUGGAACUGAGACACGGUCCAAACUCCUACGGGAGGCAGCAGUGAGGAAUAUUGGUCAAUGGGCGGUAGCCUGAACCAGCCAAGUAGCGUGAAGGAUGAAGGUCCUAUGGAUUGUAAACUUCUUUUAUACGGGAAUAAAGUGGUCCACGUGUGGGCCUUUGCAUGUACCGUAUGAAUAAGCAUCGGCUAACUCCGUGCCAGCAGCCGCGGUAAUACGGAGGAUCCGAGCGUUAUCCGGAUUUAUUGGGUUUAAAGGGAGCGUAGGUGGACUGGUAAGUCAGUUGUGAAAGUUUGCGGCUCAACCGUAAAAUUGCAGUUGAUACUGGAUAUCUUGAGUGCAGUUGAGGCAGGCGGAAUUCGUGGUGUAGCGGUGAAAUGCUUAGAUAUCACGAAGAACUCCGAUUGCGAAGGCAGCUCACUGGACUGCAACUGACACUGAUGCUCGAAAGUGUGGGUAUCAAACAGGAUUAGAUACCCUGGUAGUCCACACAGUAAACGAUGAAUACUCGCUGUUUGCGAUAUACAGUAAGCGGCCAAGCGAAAGCAUUAAGUAUUCCACCUGGGGAGUACGCCGGCAACGGUGAAACUCAAAGGAAUUGACGGGGGCCCGCACAAGCGGAGGAACAUGUGGUUUAAUUCGAUGAUACGCGAGGAACCUUACCCGGGCUUAAAUUGCAGUGGAAUGAUGUGGAAACAUGUCAGUGAGCAAUCACCGCUGUGAAGGUGCUGCAUGGUUGUCGUCAGCUCGUGCCGUGAGGUGUCGGCUUAAGUGCCAUAACGAGCGCAACCCUUAUCUUCAGUUACUAACAGGUCAUGCUGAGGACUCUGGAGAGACUGCCGUCGUAAGAUGUGAGGAAGGUGGGGAUGACGUCAAAUCAGCACGGCCCUUACGUCCGGGGCUACACACGUGUUACAAUGGGGGGUACAGAAGGCAGCUAGCGGGUGACCGUAUGCUAAUCCCAAAAUCCUCUCUCAGUUCGGAUCGAAGUCUGCAACCCGACUUCGUGAAGCUGGAUUCGCUAGUAAUCGCGCAUCAGCCACGGCGCGGUGAAUACGUUCCCGGGCCUUGUACACACCGCCCGUCAAGCCAUGGGAGCCGGGGGUACCUGAAGUACGUAACCGCAAGGAUCGUCCUAGGGUAAAACUGGUGACUGGGGCU
rnacentral:rRNA from 1 species